GCUGGAUUAACCUAUUUAUAAACAUAGCAGUUUCUCUGACACUGCUAUGUUUAUAAAAAAAUGGGUUAAUCCUAGAGGGACCUGGCACCCAGACCACUUCAUUAAGCUGAAGCGGUCUGGGUGCCUAGAGUGGUCCUUUAAUCUACUUGGUAUACUUGUUUGUUUAUUAUGGUUACAAAAAUAUGUUCUACAUAUACCAGAGCUAGUGUGUUUCUUUUUAUACACAUAAAACCAAUGUAUUAAUAAUCUUCAUGUGCUCACAAUGCCACUAUUGAGAGGCCACAAUUUAAUGAAUUAGAUCUGGCUAAAAAAAGGAAUGCAACAACAUAUAAAAUUAUUAAAAGGACACUAACCACUACAGCUUGCUUUGUCCUGGCACUGUUCCCUAGUUUAAAUUAAAAAUGUUUAGAAAUAGUUUAACACAAAACCAAGGUGUCCUUCUACAUUUUUGCUUUUUCCCCUUGGCUGCUUUUAUGAUGGGGAAUUGACACUUCCACAUUAUCAGUGUUUAUUUUUUACGUAGUUGAUGUUGGUUCUAGGUUGAGUGAUAGGGGCUGCAUUCGUAUUAAUUCCACAUUAUCAGUGUUUAUUUUUUACGUAGUUGAUGUUGGUUCUAGGUUGAGUGAUAGGGGCUGCAUUCGUAUUAAUUCCACAUUAUCAACCUUGCUAACAGGAUAGUCUCUGGGCACCAGGAAGCAUACAGUGUAUUCAUAAAUUUAGAUCUAAUUAUUUACAUUAAAUCUUUAAUAAGUGUUUGACGUGAAACUUUAAAACAGCACACAUGUACAUUUUAGAUAAUUUGCCCACUACAAGAUGAUGUGGAUGUGAUCACAGAUCGUCUAUUCAAAGUAGGUAAAUUACUACUAUUCCCAAAUAAAAUGGAGAAAACAAUAAGGAGCCCUUACUCAAACAUUAAAAAUACACCUCUAUUAAUGAUUAAACAUACAUAUCUAGAGGAACAAAGGAAAAUGUUCUAAGCUUUAUGUUGAUACCAAUUGAUUCAGUGGUUGAAUAAAUUAUAAAUUCAGUAUGUGUGCUUCCAGGGUUCCAGGAAAGCAAGUCCAAACAUGGAUGGUAACUUAAAGGGACACUAUAGUCACCCAGACCACUUCAGCUCAAUGAAGUGGUCUGGGUGCCAGGUCCCUCAGGUUUUAACCCUUCAGAUGUAACCAUAGCAAUUUCAGAGAAACUGCUAUGUUUACAUUACGGGUUAAGCCAACCUCUAGUGGCUGUCUUCCUGACAGCCGCUUUUGGCUCAUCUGCGAUGCUGGAUGCGAACUUCACAUCUGUUGCCCACAGUGUCCAUAGAGAAAUGCUUUCCUAUGGACUGUUUAAAUGCGCGAGCAGCACUUGCCGCGCAUGCCGCUCCACUCGGGAGAUGACGUCGGCAGGGGAGAUGAGGGAGCCCGGCGCUGGAUUAAGUUAAGCUGCUGAAGGUGUUUUAACCCCUUCAGUGCCACGGGAGGAGGACACUGAGGAUGAGGAUCCCCCAGGGAUUAUAUAGUAUCAGGAAAACCGCUUUGUUUUCCUGACACUAUAGUGAUCCUUUAAGUAAAAGAUAGAUUUUUAUGGCAAUGCAACGUAGGUAAUAUGUCCCUAAUUCAGGUCACAGCUGGCAAGCAGACCAUUUCUACAAGAGAUACACUGUUCAUAUAACCUUGUUUACCAGAGUGUGCCUACUAUCUAACUUAAAGGGACACUCCACUUCCCAAAUACAAAAUAUCAUUGUUUAGUAGAUAUACCCCAAAUGCAAACUUACAUGCAUUUAACUAUGCAUUUUUUUUCAUUGGAGUUAUAUCUAAAAACAGAGUGCAAAAACUGCAGUUCUAUUGUCUGUUGCCUUUGCAAGCCCUCCCCUUCUAACACCCCCCAGACUAUGUGGCUGUCCAAUCACAGACUUCCCAAUGCAGCUCAAUGAGAGGUGCUCUGAGCAAUUGCCUGACUGUUAAGUUCAGUGCAACUAAGCUAACCAAGCCAUCAAGAAGUAACAGGACCUCAAGCCUGCUUGAAAAGUGAGAAUGGUAAAAUCAUGUUAUUUAUCUAUUGAAAUCUGCACCAUUUACCAAAUGAAAAAAACAACAGGACUUACUCUUCACACAAAUCUUUUCAGCAAGCUAAAUUGAUUUAUGGGUCUGGAGUGUCCAUUUACGUAAAGCCACACAUGAAAUAAAUACUUAAUACCAAUAAUAACCUUAUAUGUGGAAAAAGAGAGGAAUCACUAAAUGGUAGGAAACAAUUACAUACAAAAUUAUUCCAAAAAAAUCAUCCCCUAUACUUUACAAAGUAACUGAAUUGUGUUACACUUGUUACCAAGGUAAAUAACUUGGGUGAAUAAAUAAACUUAGGUCCAGGCUGCCAUGACAAAUGUCAGUAGCAGUGAAAUAAAUAGGAAGAGAAACAAGACAAACAGACUAUAAGUGAGAAGUAGUAGUUAUGGUACAAUAGCCCUCAGUAAAUGAUCCUAAAAUAUCUGUCCCUAAAUUAAGGUCAAAGCUGAGCAAGGACUGUAAAGGACGUCUUGUGUCAUUUCACUGCCUCCUACGGUCAGACAACAUCAAUAGCCCAUUGUUGUGAAUAAAAUAAAGAGAGUUAGCUGCUUAGCACACGCCUUCAUCUGGGGCUUUUACUUAAGUUACCAUACAUAUUUUGGCUUACCUUCCUGGAACCCUAAGUUCAAACUGAAUUCAUAAUUUCUUCAACCAGGAAAUGAUUGGUUUCCAUGUAAAGCAGAGAACGUUUUAUUUGUUGCCCUUCUAGAUGUGUGUAAUCAUUAAUAAAAAUGUAUGUUUAAUAUUUAUUUGAGUAAGGGAUCCUUAUUUUUUUUUUGGGAAAUAUUAGUAAUUUACCUAUUUUGAUGACAUAUUUUUUGGGUUACCCCCAUUUUUGUCCUUACUACACGACCAUUUUUUCCAACAACCUUUCUCUUUAGAUCUUGUUUAAGAUAAUCUAGUUUUAAAAGAAAUGUGCAAUUAUUUUUCAAAAGAUUUCCGUUUCUUAAUUCAUGUUAAAGGACCACUAUAGGCACCCAGACCACUUCAGCUCAAUGAAGUGGUCUGGGUGCCAGGUCCAGCUAGGUUUAACCCUGCCUGCUAUAAACAUAGCAGUUUCAGAGAAACCGCUAUGUUUACAAAUGGGUUAAUCCAGCCUCUAGUGGCUGUCUCAUUGAUAUCCGCUAGAGGCGCUUCCGAGCUUCUCACUGUGAUUUUCACAGUGAGAAGACGCCAGUGUCCAUAGGAAAGCAUUGAGAAUGCUUUCCUAGAGACUGGCUAAAUGCGUGCCCGAUGACAGUCAAAGGAGGAGGAGAGACCCCUGCGCCAGAAAAAAGGUAAAGGAUUAACCCUUUCCUCCCCCCAGAGCCCGACAGGAGGGGGGCCCUGAGGAUGAGGGGGACCCAAGGACCCUAUGGAGCCAGGAAAGUGAGUAUGAUUUCCUGGCACUAUAGUGGUCCUUUAAUCAUAUUGCUUCACCAUCAUAAUAAGGCUGAAUAUAUAUGGAGAGUGAUGGAAGGGCAGUAUUGAUCUUGGCACCCCAUAUGCCCGUAACUACAUUUCCCAUGAUGCAUAGCGAGACAAAUAGCAAAUACAGUUCACAAACAUGAAAACUAUAGAUACCAUAGGUCUUCAGAUGCCUGCCUUGGAGGGCACAAAACAAAUCUUGGUCUGUAAACGGCCAACUAAUUUUCAACUACUAUAAGCCUUUCAAACCGUAUUCUAUGAUUUAUUUGUUGGAACGUGUAAAGUGCUCAUUCAUACAAUCCUCAUUUGCCUAUCUUUGCUUUAGAAGGGUCUAAUUAGCUUCAUCUUUGAACGACCAAUCAAGCUACACAGCAUGGGAAGCAAAUUAACAUUUAGAUAGCUGCAACCAGCAAGAGCUGGUAGUAAUGUUUUAAAUAGCGUCUACAUGCACUAUUUAAGUUAUUAUAAUAAAUAACUUCAAAAUGGAAUGACAGGGAAAAAACUAACACAGAUCACUGCUUGUGCACAACUUUUUUUUUUUUUUACUGAAUAUAUGAUGUACCUUAAGAAAUGAUUGCCAGAAAGAUCCUUAAAUUCUAUAAACAUUUUACCAACCCAACUGAAACCAAUGCAAUCUGAUAAUAUAAAUUUGAAAUCUCAAGACUAGUGCACUCACAGUGACACAAACUACACUGCCUGGCCAAAAAAAAAGUCGCCAGCUGGAUUUGACUAAGCAAAUAUGUAAGAGCCUCCUAUUGGAUAGUUACUGCAUGGGCGAUUAUCUUUCAGCUGGCAACAAGUUAUUUAAACCCAACUGAUGCAAUGAGUAGCUUCUCAUUUCCUAAACAACCAUGUCGAAAGACAUCACAUGGUCGUGGAAAAUAUGUUAGUCUGUUUGAGAAGCAUCAAAUCAGUGGCAUGCAUCAAGCAGAGAAAACAUCUAAAGAGAUUGCAAAAAAAAACUACUAAAACUGGGUUAAGAACUGUCCAACCCAUAAUUAAAAACUGGAAGAACCAGGGUGAUGGGUGCAUCAGGGUAGAAGAAGAGAGGCAGAUGAAGUGAUGCACCCGUCAUGCCUAGUGCCUACUGCACAAGCCUGUGGGGGCAAUGCUAUGAUCUGUGGUUGCUGCAGUUGGUCAGGACUAGGUUCAGCAAUAUUAUGUGCCCAAAGAGGUCAGCUGACUACCUGAAUAACCAGGUUAGUCCAUUAAUGGAUUUUUUCUUCCCUGCUGGCACGUUGUCAAGGGUGGCGGUCCGAAGACCGGGACCCCUGUGUGCCUGAUGAUGAACAUCGGAGUCUCAGCGUGGAAAUGGACAAUCAGGGUCUGGUGCAGGGUAACCACAUGCCCCCUGGUGUUGAGCACCAGGGUUUGUGCGACAACAUACCAGAUGCAGCUUAGCUGAUGCCAGGAGCUGAUAGUAAGCAGAUAUGUAUCCAGUACUAGAAACAAGAUAAGACUAGAACAGGCACCAACCAAGAUAAUAAGACAAGAUUAGAAGAAUCCAGAACCGGAGCAGGACAGAAAGCAGAACAUGUAAACAAUACAAGAGGGAAACAUGAACAGAACAUGGACAGGACUGUACAUGAACUGGGAAUACAAGACAAAUAAGACAAUAGAUACAAGGCAAAACAAGGGGAGACAUAACUAAGUACUAUAUAUGUAAUAAACAUUGGAGAUUUAGACAUACAUAUAUGGCCAAGAUGUAUGCAGCCCCCACUGCGCCAUAGUACUCCAAUUACGGUGGGUCCUAACUGAAAUUAUAGGGCAAAAAGAUGACUUAAAGCGGCACUGCCGUGCCAACUUACCACUCUCCUAUUGUUUCCUCUUCUCUUUCUCUUUAGAAUCUGGUCUUUUCUUAAUUUCUGAUCUAAUUUUCCUUAAAACAUAAGCCAAAGUAGGGAAUAUGUUGUCUUUUCCUACACCUGACUUUCUUUGACCAGAGGACGAGUUUAAAUCAGC